ensembl:lncRNA
CUCAUAUGAAAAUGAACCAGGGUUUUACUAAAUCAUGGCUACUACAAUUAAACCAUGAUAACCAUAAUUUUUUGCUACACUAACCAUAGUUAAACCAUGGUAUUUACAGUAAAACUGUGGUUAUAUAAAUGGUAAUCAAAACGCCAAAAAAAAACAUGGUUAAUUUUCAUAAGGGAAAACUAAGUUCUUGAGUCUAGUAGAGUUUAGUAGAACAUUAGCAUGUUGCUAAGCUAACAAAGACAAAGCAUAAAAUACACAAAUACUCAGUGAAACUGUGCAUUUUAAUCAUACCAUCUAACAUAUUUUCUUGAUAGUUUUUUUAUUGAGAAUGAAGUCGUUGUAAAAUUUUAGUCCACAUUUCUUUAUUUUCGACGGAGCCCUGCACGUAAAAUGCAGGCAUGAUAAUCUUGAACUUGAAUUUAGAAUUUGUUUCCCAUGACUUAUUAUUUUAGUUACUCAUUUUAUUUAACUUGCAGUAAAAGUUUCCCUAUCAUGCUUUAGAAAUCAUCAUGAAUUACAUAUCAGUUGAAAGCUUAAAAUAUCAAAAUUCAUCCUUUGAAAACCAUUUUAAAAUCAGACAUUGCAAUACCAUGGAAAUGAUACAUCAAAAUCAUAAUACAAAAUGUUUUCGUUCAUGAAUUACUGUAGACACAUUUUAGUUUUGAUAGUGCACUUUCACGUCUUUUUAGUUUGGAUAGUGAACUUUUUCAUGUUUAUAAAUGGGAGUGACAGUUAAAGAGUUCAGUCAGAUGAAAUCAGAUGAAAUGUGUAAUGGUUUCCUCCUUUCUUCUGCUCUUCUGCAGUGUGGUGGUGGUGGGGUCUGUGAGCAGCCAGCGGGAGCUGUCCUCAGAUGUUAUGGCAGCGUUUGUGCUCCAGGUGGCGAUAGAGAGUCUGUCCCAGGAGCAGUGCAGGACGAUGCUGUCCAGCCUCAGUGAGGACCUGAUGUUGGAUCCCAUCGGUCAGAUGGCAAAACAUCAGUGGACUGCAGCAGGUUAAGAAGGAGAUUCUGGACAUGAUUCAGCUUCCUCUGGAGCAUCCAGAGCUGCUUUCGCAGGGACUGUGGCGCUCUGGACUGCCGAUUCUAUGGGCCGCCGGGCACCGGAAAAACCCUGCUGGCUAAAGCCGUCGCCACCGAGUGUACCAUGACCUUCCUCAGGUUACUACAUUACUUUAUUUUUAGGGCUGUCAGUUUAACGCAUUGACUUAUUCAAUUAGUUAAGAAAAAAUAAUGCGAUAAAAAUGUUUUAACACAGUUAACGCACUGCCCCCACCCCCAGACCUGAACGUCAUCUUACAUUUCAUACAGUUGACUGUUGACAAAUACGAUGCAGGGCAACAACUCCAUAAAUGCAGUUAUACCCUAAAAUUCAAGAUAUUGGGGCAAAAAUUGGCUUGUAUGAGUUUUUGUCUCAUAAUUAUAUAUAAUAUGAUAAUAGACAUCACAUGGGCAGCGAGAGCAAUAUCACAGCAGGGCUGUUUUUGUCCCGAUCUAUCACGAGUUUAAGUGUGAUUUUAUACAACAGUUCAGUAAAUAAGAAGUUAAUAUUGUGUUAAUUUUAGUGCUAUCAAAUGAUUAAUUGUGAUUAAUCGCAUCCAAAAUAAAAGUUUUUGUUUACAAAACAUACAUGUGUGUGUCCUGUGCAUAUAUAUUAUGUAUAUAUAAAUACAAACACAUGCAUGUAUAUAUUUAAGAAAAAUACGUAUGUUAUGUUUAUUUAUUAAAUAUAUUUAUAUAUAAUAUAAAAUAUAAUAUUAUGAAUAUAUAAAUAUAUAAAUGUAAAUAUUUUCAAAAUAUAUUCUGUAUGGGUGUGUAUUUAUUAUCCUGAAACUUUGGUUUGAGCCAUCUAUCCCAGCUACGUCUACUUGGAUGUCCUAUCUGCUGGACAUUGCUCUGUUGGAGUGUACCACAGCUAAAGUGCAUGGCGCCACCAGAAGGACAGUACAGUUUUGGUUGGACCUUGUUGAGACUUUAUCAGACCUCUUGAAAUCUUGAGAGGUAUUGGUUAUACCUCUAAACAAGGAUUCCCCUCUCUCUCUCUUUUUUUUUUUUCUCUCUUUCUUUUCCUUCUUAUCUCUGUAUCUUAUGAAUGUGGGCGGAUCUUGGGCUUUGUUGUAAAUAGUUAUAAAUCUAAAUUAAGAAAUAAAGAAUCAAAAAAAAAAUAUAUAUAUAUAUAUUCUGUAUGGGUGUGUAUUUAUAUAUACAUAAAUAUACACAGUACACACACAUAUAUAAAGUAAACUAAAACUUCUAUUUUGGAUCACAAUUAAUCAUUAGACAGGACUAGUUAUAUUUCAUGUUCAGUUUUUGCUAAAUUUUGCAUAGAAAAUAUUACCUUUAAAGUCAUAGCAGAAUUGUUGUGGGUUUGUGAUCAACACAGCGGUGAUUAGUUUCUGAAUGAAUCCGUGUUUUAAACAAAUCGUGUGAAUCAGUGAUUCAAUAGCCUGAUGCAUAAAGACAAAUACGGCCACCUGCUGGUAGUUUUAGUUUCUUAUUUAGAGUAUCAUUUCAUUUCAUAAAAAAAAAAAAAAAAAAAUAGUUAUCUCAAAAAUUUUAAUUCUGUCGUCAAUUACGUUCAUGUCAUUUCAAACCUGUAUGACUUUCUUCUUUUGCACAACAUAAACAAAGGUAUAUUUAUGACUUGAUAAUUAAUCUGUCUUGGUUACCAGUGACAUUCAUUGUAUGAACAAAAUACUGAGAUGUUUCUCAAAUUAUCUACUUUUAUGUGCCAUAGUUUGUUAGGCCGUUGUAACCUAAACGAUUAUGUGUAAAACAAUUUAUGUUGAAUCAAAUCAAAUAUUUCUUUCUAAAGCUACUGUUUGUAAUGUCUACUUGAUAGUUUCUCAUUUAAAACAAUAAUAGCUUUACAUAAUCAUUUGUGGGUAUUUUCACAGACAAAUUAAAUUUGUGAUUAAUUAGAUUAAUUCAUCGACACAUCAUGUAAUUAAUAAGAUUAAGAAAUUUUAAUCAACUGACAGCCGUUCUUUAUUUGCUUUGAGUUUGAAAUAUUCAAGAGACUGGUUAGAGUACAAAACUAAAUGAACACAACAUCAUGUACUGAGUGUGUUUGGUGUUUGUUUUCAGCGUGAAGGGCCCUGGACUCAUCAACAUGUACGUUGGUCAGAGUGAAGAGAACAGCUUAGUUACUGACAGUCUUCAAAAUACCUUAUUUUAUGUUGCGCAAAAGAAAGUAAGUCAUUCAGGUUUGAAACGACAUUUUGAAAAAUUUAAAUAAAAUACAAUUUAUAAAAAAAAAAAAAAAAAAUUUGGUGAACUAUCCAUUUAAUGUUAUUUAUUUAUUUUUUAUAGACAAAAUGAAAUGAUGCUCUAAAGAAGAAACUAAAACUGCCAGCAGGUGGCGGCAGCAAAUGUCUUUAUGAGUCAUUCAUUCAUUCAUUCAUUCAUUCAUUCAUUCAUUCCUUUGAAUUGUUCAAACGGCUGAUUCAUUCAGUAAUGAAGUAAAUGGCACUCUUUAUGAAUGGGCUUUAAAUCAUUGGUUCACACAAUUAAUUCAAAAUGAGGAUUCAUUCACAAACUAAACACCGCUAUUGCUCACAGGUGCACAACAGUUUUGCAUUGGCCUUAUAGGUAAUAUUUUCAAUAGCAAAACUGAGCAAAAACACAAUAUUGUGUUUAAAAUAUGUAAGCAAUAAUUGACGACGGGCUGUUGAAUUAUUAGAAAAAUAAUGCACACCCAUGGUGGUGAUGCGGCCACGACGCGAAGCGGAGUGUGCAUUAUUUGUCUAAUAAUUCAACGGCCUGGAGUCAUUAUUUGUCUAAUAAUUCAUCGGCCUGGAGUCACUGUUGUUCUUCAGCAGAACAACAGUGAACUGUGGUCAGAUGAGAUGUUGUCAGGCCAAAUGUCAGUAAAAACGAGUUUUCUUCUCCUGACUGCCAAUAUACUGUGCUCAUAGCCCAUGCUCUUUAACUGCAAGCACAAAUAAGGCAGCGCGCGCUGUAGCCUGUAUCAUUUCAUAUUAACAUGUGAAUGAAAUGACAAGCAUGCGUGUCAGAUCCAUGUCACGUUCAGCAGCAGCAGCUCUUAAAGUAAUAGCAGCCAAAUAACCUAAUAACCCAGCUGCUGUGAUGUCUGUUCAUCAAAGAAGAAAAGAAGAAAGAGGAAAUCGUUAACUUUUGUAGCUUGAGGAUUCAUCUAUAUUUAAUCUAGAAUUUAGUGUUUGAUAACUUUAUUCAAUUGUCAGUCAAAACUCCACCGAACUCCGUGACAUGCAGUUUGAAGACAGACGUCUACUUCUUCGCAAUGCAAGGGUAAAUAAAAACUGAUGUUUGAAUAAGCGUUUGAAGAGUGGAGAAGAUUCUGAGCUUUUGCCAUCUGGUUGUAGCCAAUAGACGUUUUUAUGUUUUAAAUAUCCUGUGCAUAGCAGUUCAUCUUUUAUAUCAUGAGAUUUUGGCCAAAUGUAUUAAACAACAAGAAAAACUGAGCGCCAUAUAGCUGCAAUUCAUUUUAUAACCUGUAAAUUGAUGAAAAGGUAAUGUGAUAAUUUACUGCCUCAGAUUUGACCAUUCUAAUGACACAGAUCUCUGUCACCCGCUUGUCAAAAACCUUGUUAAACUCUAUUUGAGCAUGAUUUUCAGAAAAAUGUUGAGUGCAAGUGUUUGAUCAUAUAUAAAGUCAAAAUACCAACUCUGAUGACACAUUGUUUAAUUAUUGAAAAAAAAAAAAAACUUCCUUUCCUUUAACUUUAUCUUUUUUGUGUGUGCUUACUGGUGUGCUAUUAUAUAUUACUGUUUUUGAUUACAUAAAUUUAAAUCUGAACACAAGACUUCUUUCAAAAACAUUAAAAAAACU